ACCAGACUCCUACGGGAGGCAGCAGUGGGGGAUAUUGCACAAUGGGGGAAACCCUGAUGCAGCGACGCCGCGUGAGUGAAGAAGUAUUUCGGUAUGUAAAGCUCUAUCAGCAGGGAAGAAAAAAGACGGUACCUGACUAAGAAGCCCCGGCUAACUACGUGCCAGCAGCCGCGGUAAUACAUAGGGGGCAAGCGUUAUCCGGAUUUACUGGGUGUAAAGGGAGCGUAGACGGCAAUACAAGUCGGAAGUGAAAUACCCGGGCUCAACCUGGGAACUGCUUUGGAAACUGUAUGGCUGGAGUGCUGGAGAGGUAAGCGGAAUUCCUAGUGUAGCGGUGAAAUGCGUAGAUAUUAGGAGGAACACCAGUGGCGAAGGCGGCUUACUGGACAGUAACUGACGUUGAGGCUCGAAAGCGUGGGGAGCAAACAGGAUUAGAUACCCGUGUAGU
rnacentral:rRNA from 1 species